rnacentral:rRNA from 1 species
UACGUAGGGUGCAAGCGUUAAUCGGAAUUACUGGGCGUAAAGCGUGCGCAGGCGGUGCUGUAAGUCAGGUGUGAAAUCCCCGGGCUUAACCUGGGAACUGCAUUUGUGACUGCAUCGCUGGAGUGCGGCAGAGGGGGAUGGAAUUCCGCGUGUAGCAGUGAAAUGCGUAGAUAUGCGGAGGAACACCGAUGGCGAAGGCAAUCCCCUGGGCCUGCACUGACGCUCAUGCACGAAAGCGUGGGGAGCAAACAGG